UAAAGAGAGGACCCCGCAUUGGUUGCUGGGGCGCAAGGAAUGCGGCCGCCAUCUUGGAGCGGUCAUCCUACCGCAGAUAGUAGUAGAAACGAGAUGCCUGAGCACUGUGCGGCCAAUUCCUGCUUCAGUCGGCGGACUGUUGAAAACAGGGCUCGGGGAAUAACUUUUCACAAGUUUCCCAAAGACAAAGAGAUGAGGAGGAAGUGGGAAAUUUCUUUGCAGAGGGAAGAAUUCACUGCAAGUAAUACGUCUGUACUUUGCAGUGAACAUUUUAAGCAGGAUGAUUUUGAUAGGACGGGUCAGAUUGUCCGACUCAGAAAUGAGGUUAUACCAUCCAUCUUCAGCUUCCCAGUUCACCUCCAAAGAGUAGCCAGAAAAGCGCAGGACUACGUCUACCUCCAGAAGAGCUGGAGAUGGGCUGUCCGUGGCCUCUCAGGAUGUCCCUUCAUCCACACACCCACAACCUCAGCCUAAUGAUGAUCAUGGCUACGCCUUGCCCACUUCUCCGUUCUCUCUUAAGACCAGACUCAGUGAAGCCUUGGCAAGAGUGGAAAGUCUAGAACGAGACAAAAAGAACUCCAUGGCCAGAGAAAAGAGGGCAAAGACCACAGUAAGGAAUCUUUUGGGAGAUUUGAGGGAGAAGAACGUCAUUAAUGAAGAGCUCAAACUGAAGCUCGACUUGUACUCUGAUCUUCAGUUAGACUUCGUGGCAAAGCAGGGCCAUAAGUACACAAAGGACUACAGAGAGUUCGCCCUCACACUUCAUCUACACGGUCCAAAGGCAUACAAGUACCUCAGAGAGACUCAACAUUUUCCCCUUCCACAUCCACAUACAUUACUAAGGUGGUCUUAAUGUUGUCCAAUGUAAUUGUUGGAAACAUUUCAGCCAUUGUGUGUGACACAAAUUAUUGUCCCACCCGGUUUGGUGGUCUGGUGGAAAAUGCUCUGGUCUACAAGGCAGGAUUUGUAGUCUGGCAGAAUCUGCAAAAGCUAUAGUGCGACGUGUGCCACACAAGCUUGGUCAUCUUUAGAAGAGCUACCACCUUCUAGCCCUGAAACACAACGCUGGCCUUGUGAUUGUUUUCACAGGGGCACAGAGAAGGUGGAGAGAGCUGUAGAGACGGUGAUUCACCGAGCUUCAACCAAGCAAACUCCAAAGGUGUCAACAGUCGCACACACCGUCCGCAAGGAGAUUGGAUUGGAUUUCUAUAUUUAUAUUUUCUGUUAUCUUAAACUUCUGUCCAUUGUAUUAUAUUAUAUAGACAUAGUGUAGUCUACUCUUUAUCUCUAUUGUCUUUAUCAUCAUAGUGGACUUUGUAUUUAGUUUUGUUCUAAAUAAAGGUUUGAAUGUUUUCUCAGUAGACUUCGUCAACAAAGUUGUGUUGUACACCAUCAUCAUGCACGGAAGUUUCAAGAAGAAAAAAAUAAAUGUUGCAUUUGGAGCUUCACCUGGUAGUAUUUAUUCCAUUCACAAUAUGUGAGCUGAGCUGAAUGUAUAGCCUUAAGUGUGCAUACAGUAUGUAAG